rnacentral:lncRNA from 1 species
UUUUUUCGGCUGUUUGUAUUUUUGUUUACUUCAGUUUUAUAAAAAAAAGAUUUUUAUUUAUUAAUUCAUAAGAGACACAGAGAGAGGCAGAGACAGAGGGAGAAGCAGGCUCCCCAAGGGGAGCCUGAUGCAGGACCUGAUCCCAGGACCCCAGGAUCACGACCUGAGCCAAAGGCAGACAAUCACUGAGCCACCCAGGUGCCCCUGUUUACUUAACUUUUUUAUUUUAUUUCUUAUUGUGGCAAAAUACAGGUAACAUAAAAUUUACUGGUGUAACCAUUUUUAAGUGUGCAAUUCAGGAGCAUUAAGAAUAUUUAGAGGGGUGUCUGGGUGGCUCAGUUGCUUGACUGUCCUACUUCAGAUUUUGGUUCAGAUCUUCAUCUCAGGGUCAUGAGUUCAGGCCCCACCUUGGGCUUCACACUGGGUGUGGAGCCCACUUAAAAACAAAAUAAAAAAGAAUAUUUGCAAUGUUGUGUAGCCAUUAUCAAUACUCGGUUACAGAUUUUUUCAUCACCCUACCUAGAAACCCCAUAUUCAUGAAGCAAUCAUUCCCCAUUUCCCUCUUCCCUCAGCCUUACAUGACUACUAAUCUGUUUUCUGUCUCUACAGAUUUUGCCUUUUCUGGAUAUUUCAUAUAAAUGCAAUCACACAAUAUGUGGCCUUUUGUGUCUGGCUUCUUAGAUGAUUUAGCAUGAGUCAGCUAUGUGAUCAUCUGCUAGUUUAUCUGAAAGCAGUCUUAUUCAGAAAAGGGACUUAUUUCAGUCUGUGGCCUUUCAAAACCAUUUAUUUUUCUCUACACAAAGAAGUCACUGAGUAGUUGGAAGAGGUAAACAUGUAAAUAGGAAAAUAUAAUAACAUAUGGUAAAUGCAAUGAUAGAUAUUGUUUGGGAGGAAUGCAAUUAUCCCAAACUGAGCAGCCUCAAAGGCAUUUCAUAAAGGUGAUACCAGAUUUUUGUAUGAAUGGAUUAAGAAAUGUUAAUAAAGCAAAGUGGUCUUAGGGAAAAGAAAGGAUACAUAUGUGUGUGUGUGUGUGUGUGUGUGUGUGUGUGUGUGUUGAAAAAGACACCUUGAAAUGCUUUAAGCAAAUUGACAGCUCAACAGUCUGCUAACUGAAUUGUAACUUGGAGACAAGGUCAUGGAACAUGCGGGGUUAAAAAUAAGGAUGAUGACACUGAAGUAAUUCACUAUAGCAAACCUCCAUGUCAUUGCCACGAUUGCUGGGGCUAGUCUUUCCCUCAAAUCAGAUCUCAUCUCUCUCAAAGUCUUCCAUCUUCUUAUUAAUUCACACCUUUUAAUACUUGAGGAUUCGUUGGCUCAUAAUCUUCUUUAUUCACAUUUUCUUUCUAGCUGCCACAAGCUGAUAUUAUCUCCUUUGAGGCAGAGUCACAUAGGAGACAUUGCAUCGAAUCACAAUGGAGUGUCACUAUUUCUUAUAAGCAAUGUAAAAUCAAGCACGUUGGAAAGAUGGUGAGGUAGAAAUCUUUCCUUUUAAUGAAACAAACAAAUAAAUAAUGUUAUAAGUCUUAGUCUAGGUGAGGAUGAGGAUUAGUAACAAAACUAAGCAAGUAUGACCAAUGCUUGCUUUAGGACUUACAUGGCUUGUUGCCUGUGCAAUGCAACCUUUUCCUUUGUUAACUUCAAUCUGCCUAUACUUCCUUCAUUUCCUAUAGUUUUGCUUGUUCUGUCCAUCAGGCCUUUCCCCAUCCUCAAGCCAAAGCAUGCAAACAUAAGCCCAGGUGGCUCUGCCACCAAGAUCCUAGAAUUCUUCAGGAACUAAAGGAUGGCCUUUUUCCGGGCACCUUUGGGAUGAUUCAGCCUCAUUAUAGUUGCUUUUAGUAUUCAAGCUUUGGGAAGGGCAAGAUCAGCAGGCUGAUUUGGGAUUAUAUGUAAUCUCUCUUGACUACUCAUAUCCUAAUCUAUCCAAGCCUACAGAGACCAUGUAAGGUUAUAGUCAAUGCUAGAGAAAUGGUCCCACUAGAGCAUCAACUUUCCACCCCUCUGUACCAAUACCACCAACUUUUCCAAAAAUUUAAAAUCACCUCCAUCUCAAACUCCCUCCAUGACCUUAUCCCCAAAUCAAUAAUUUCUUUGUUCUU